AUUGAACGCUGGCGGCAUGCUUUACACAUGCAAGUCGGACGGCAGCACAGAGAAGCUUGCUUCUUGGGUGGCGAGUGGCGAACGGGUGAGUAAUAUAUCGGAACGUACCGAGUAAUGGGGGAUAACUAAUCGAAAGAUUAGCUAAUACCGCAUAUUCUCUGAGGAGGAAAGCAGGGGACCUUCGGGCCUUGCGUUAUUCGAGCGGCCGAUAUCUGAUUAGCUAGUUGGGGGGGUAAAGGCCUACCAAGGCGACGAUCAGUAGCGGGUCUGAGAGGAUGAUCCGCCACACUGGGACUUAGGCACGGCCCAGACUCCUACGGGAGUCAGCAGUGGGGAAUUUUGGACAAUGGGCGCAAGCCUGAUCCAGCCAUGCCGCGUGUCUGAAGAAGGCCUUCGGGUUGUAAAGGACUUUUGUCAGGGAAGAAAAGGCUGUUGCUAAUACCGACAGCUGAUGACGGUACCUGAAGAAUAAGCACCGGCUAACUACGUG
rnacentral:rRNA from 1 species